rnacentral:rRNA from 1 species
ACGGGUGAGUAACACGUGGAUAACCUACCUAUAAGACUGGGAUAACUUCGGGAAACCGGAGCUAAUACCGGAUAAUAUUUUGAACCGCAUGGUUCAAAAGUGAAAGACGGUCUUGCUGUCACUUAUAGAUGGAUCCGCGCUGCAUUAGCUAGUUGGUAAGGUAACGGCUUACCAAGGCAACGAUGCAUAGCCGACCUGAGGGGGUGAUCGGCCACACUGGAACUGAGACACGGUCCAG